rnacentral:rRNA from 1 species
AUGCGGACGACAAUAGGAAGCGGCACAGACUCGCUAUUCUGGGAGGAUAAAUGGAUAGAUGGGGAGAGGAUUCAGGAUAUCACCCCGCAGCUUUAUGCCAUGCUGAGAAAACGGACGAGGCUAAGCUGUAAAGUAGCCCAAGCCUUGCAUGGCCACAGGUGGGCAAGAAAUGUCGGGACGGAGAUGUCCGCGGAGGUGCUAAACGAAUACAUGCAACUAUGGACGAGGUUAGUGGAGGUGGAGCUGGCUCCAGGCGAGCAGGUCUUGGAGAAGGAAUGGGGAGUUCACUACAAAAUCUGCCUACGAUGCCAAAUUUUGGGGACGACAAGUUGCGCCAGCAGCAGAGUUCACCUGGAAGGCCAAGGCACCAAUGAGAUGUCGAUUCUUCACGUUGUUGGCCACCCGGGACAGAUACUGGACGUCUGA